AUGUCCGUGAUGCGACACCUCCGGCUCGGCAUCACGGCCGGCGGGCACGGGCUCUUCAAGAGCAUGCUCCAAAACCGCGGCUUUGAGCUGGCCACUACCAAGGAAGGGCUCCCGGUGCGCCGGUGCUCGCGCGGCGGACGUCAGCCUAGGAGGAGGAAGGGUACGUCUGCUGCUUCCUCCUCCUUGUUCUACGCACAGUACAUGGCUAAUAUUGGAGAAGAGAUAUGUUGGUUGAACACCAAAGAUGUUGACUAUCCCCUGAAGCUUCUGUGGAUUCACAUCGACAUGAUACUCUACUGCUCUCUAAAGGGGCUCGCCGACCAAGGACCGAUUUGGAGCUCCUCUCUGCAACCGCAGUUCUUUGAAUAUUACAGGAGAUCAUAG
rnacentral:rRNA from 1 species